CCUACGGGAGGCAGCAGUAAGGAAUAUUGGUCAAUGGAGGCAACUCUGAACCAGCCAUGCCGCGUGCAGGAAGACGGACCUAUGGUUUGUAAACUGCUUUUGUAACAGAGAAAACCCUUCUACGUGUAGGAGGCUGAUAGUAUGUUAAGAAUAAGGAUCGGCUAACUUCGUGCCAGCAGCCGCGGUAAUACGAAGGAUCCAAGCGUUAUCCGGAUUCAUUGGGUUUAAAGGGUGCGUAGGCGGUUUUGUAAGUCAGUGGUGAAAUCUCCGGGCUCAACCCGGAAUCUGCCAUUGAUACUGCAGAACUAGAGUACAGAUGACGUUGGCGGAAUGUGUCAUGUAGCGGUGAAAUGCAUAGAUAUGACACAGAACACCGAUUGCGAAGGCAGCUGACGAAACUGCAACUGACGCUGAUGCACGAAAGUGCGGGGAUCAAACAGGAUUAGAUACCCUGGUAGUCCGCACCGUAAACGAUGAAUACUCGAUGUUUGCGAUACACAGCAAGCGUCCAAGCGAAAGCGAUAAGAUUCCACCUGGGGAGUACGCCCGCAAGGGUUGAAACCUUAAAGGAAUUAGGAGACGNGAGAGNGCGACGGACGACGACGAGGGAGGAGG
rnacentral:rRNA from 1 species